rnacentral:rRNA from 1 species
AACGAACGCUGGCGGCAUGCCUAACACAUGCAAGUCGAGCGCCCGUAGCGAUACGGGAGCGGCGCACGGGUGAGUAACGCGUGGGAACCUGCCCUUAGGUUCGGGACAACCGCGGGAAACUGCGGCUGAUACCGGAUGAAGUCCCCGAUAGAGAUAUUGGGGCCCAAAGAUUUAUCGCCUUUGGAGGGGCGUGCGUCGGAUUAGGUAGUUGGUGGGGUAACGGCUCACCAAGCCUGUGAUCCGUAGCUGGUCUGAGAGGAUGAUCAGCCACACUGGGACUGAGACACGGCCCAGACUCCUACGGGAGGCAGCAGUGGGGAGUAUUGGACAAUGGGGGCAACCCUGAUCCAGCAAUGCCGCGUGGGUGAUGAAGGCCUUCGGGUUGUAAAGCCCUUUCGGCGGGGACGAUGAUGACGGUACCCGCAGAAGAAGCCCCGGCUAACUUCGUGCCAGCCGCCGCCGUAAGAC